rnacentral:rRNA from 1 species
GCAUAUCAAUAAGCGGAGGAAAAAGAAACCAACAGGGAUUGCCCUAGUAACGGCGAGUGAAGCGGCAACAGCUCAAAUUUGAAAUCUGGCCCUCGGGUCCGAGUUGUAAUUUGUAGAGGAUGCUUUUGGUGCGGUACCUUCCGAGUUCCCUGGAACGGGACGCCAUAGAGGGUGAGAGCCCCGUCUGGUUGGAUACCAAUCCUCUGUAAAGCUCCUUCAACGAGUCGAGUAGUUUGGGAAUGCUGCUCUAAAUGGGAGGUAUAUGUCUUCUAAAGCUAAAUAUUGGCCAGAGACCGAUAGCGCACAAGUAGAGUGAUCGAAAGAUGAAAAGCACUUUGAAAAGAGAGUUAAAAAGUACGUGAAAUUGUUGAAAGGGAAGCGCUUAUGACCAGACUUGGACUUGGUUGAUCAUCCUGGGUUCUCCCUGGUGCACUCUUCCAGUUCAGGCCAGCAUCAGUUCAUCGCGGGGGAUAAAGGCUUCGGGAAUGUGGCUCCCUCGGGAGUGUUAUAGCCCGUUGUGUAAUACCCUGCUUUGGACUGAGGUUCGCGCAUCUGCAAGGAUGCUGGCGUAAUGGUCAUCAGCGACCCGUCUUGAAACACGGACCAAGGAGUCGUCUUCGUAUGCGAGUGUUCGGGUGUUAAACCCCUACGCGUAAUGAAAGUGAACGCAGGUGAGAGCUUCGGCGCAUCAUCGACCGAUCCUGAUGUUCUCGGAUGGAUUUGAGUAAGAGCAUACGGGGCCGGACCCGAAAGAAGGUGAACUAUGCCUGUAUAGGGUGAAGCCAGAGGAAACUCUGGUGGAGGCUCGCAGCGGUUCUGACGUGCAAAUCGAUCGUCAAAUAUGGGCAUGGGGCGAAAGACUAAUCGAACCUUCUAGUAGCUGGUUUCCGCCGAAGU